GGGUGUUAGGGUAAUCUGGCUGGCCAUACAGGUGUCCCGUUCCUUCCUCAUCACACCAUGUGCAUCCCUCCCAAAGCUGCAUACUUGGUCAGAGAGGUUGGUCUUCUCUAAAUAGAGAUGGACUGGUCUUCAGUCAAGGGUAUACAAGUAGCUGGCUCCCCUGCUAGAACCUCCAGACAAGCUCUCAGAAACCAUUGUCAAAUAAAUUAACUAAAUUCAUCAACUUUCCAAUUCUACUUAUUCUUCCAACUCCUUCCUUUCAGGCAGGGAAGUUCUUGAA
ensembl:misc_RNA 7SK 7SK RNA